UACAGAGGUCUCAAGCGUUGUUCGGAUUCAUUGGGCGUAAAGGGUGCGUAGGUGGCGCGGUAAGUCGGGUGUGAAAUUUCGGAGCUUAACUCCGAAACUGCAUUCGAUACUGCCGUGCUUGAGGACUGGAGAGGAGACUGGAAUUUACGGUGUAGCAGUGAAAUGCGUAGAUAUCGUAAGGAAGACCAGUGGCGAAGGCGGGUCUCUGGACAGUUCCUGACACUGAGGCACGAAGGCCAGGGGAGCAAACGGGG
rnacentral:rRNA from 1 species